rnacentral:rRNA from 1 species
AUUGAACGCUAGCGGCAGGCCUAACACAUGCAAGUCGAACGAGUGGCGGACGGGUGAGUAAUGUAUGGGAAACUGCCCGGUGGAGGGGGAUAACUACUCGAAACGGUAGCUAAUACCGCAUACAAUCAGAUGUGCCAAUAUGGGAUUAGCUAGUUGGUGGGGUAACGGCUAACCAGGGCGACGAUCCCUAGCUGGUCUGAGAGGAUGACCAGCCACACUGGAACUGAGACACGGCCCAGACUCCGACGGGAGGCAGCAGUGGGGAAUAUUGGACAAUGGGGGAAACCCUGAUCCAGCCAUCCCGCGUGUAUGAUGAAGGCCUUCGGGUUGUAAAGUACUUUUAGCAGGGAAGCGGUAUCCGCAGAAUAAGCACCGGCUAACUACGUGCCAGCAGCCGCGGUAAUUC